GAGGACUUCUAUGGUUGACAUCAGGGGCGGACCCAGACCGUUCGAACUGUGGGGUCAAAAUUUUUUUUUUUUCGAACAAUGUAUCAUGAAUAAAAAGGAAAAAUCGGUUGUUUGCUGUUCAUGUUCGAUAUUUGCACUUUGAGAAGAAAUAGGUGGAUUAUAUGAUAUAUCUAUGGACUAAAUAAUGGAUAUGGACCAUGUGAUAUGGAUAUAGAUUUAGGAUUUGGACUUUUUGGGGGUAGAAAAUUAAAUUUUCAGCAAAAAAAAAAAAAAAAAAUUCCAGAAAACUGUGGGGUCAUUUGACCCCCACAUGACCCCAUGUGGGUCCGCCCCUGGUUGA
rnacentral:lncRNA from 1 species